rnacentral:rRNA from 1 species
GACGAACGCUGGCGGCGUGCUUAACACGUGCAAGUCGAACGGAAAGGCCCUGCUUUUGUGGGGUGCUCGAGUGGCGAACGGGUGAGUAACACGUGAGUAACCUGCCCUUGACUUUGGGAUAACUUCAGGAAACUGGGGCUAAUACCGGAUAGGAGCUCCUGCUGCAUGGUGGGGGGUGGAAAGUUUCGGCGGUUGGGGAUGGACUCGCGGCUUAUCAGCUUGUUGGUGGGGUAGUGGCUUACCAAGGCUUUGACGGGUAGCCGGCCUGAGAGGGUGACCGGCCACAUUGGGACUGAGAUACGGCCCAGACUCCUACGGGAGGCAGCAGUGGGGAAUAUUGCACAAUGGGCGGAAGCCUGAUGCAGCAACGCCGCGUGCGGGAUGACGGCCUUCGGGUUGUAAACCGCUUUCGCCUGUGACGAAGCGUGAGUGACGGUAAUGGGUAAAGAAGCACCGGCUAACUACGUG